AUUGAACGCUGGCGGCAGGCCUAACACAUGCAAGUCGAACGGUAACAGGAAGCAGCUUGCUGCUUUGCUGACGAGUGGCGGACGGGUGAGUAAUGUCUGGGAAACUGCCCGAUGGAGGGGGAUAACUACUGGAAACGGUAGCUAAUACCGCAUAACGUCGCAAGACCAAAGAGGGGGACCUUCGGGCCUCUUGCCAUCGGAUGUGCCCAGAUGGGAUUAGCUUGUUGGUGGGGUAACGGCUCACCAAGGCGACGAUCCCUAGCUGGUCUGAGAGGAUGACCAGCCACACUGGAACUGAGACACGGUCCAGACUCCUACGGGAGGCAGCAGUGGGGAAUAUUGCACAAUGGGCGCAAGCCUGAUGCAGCCAUGCCGCGUGUAUGAAGAAGGCCUUCGGGUUGUAAAGUACUUUCAGCGGGGAGGAAGGUGUUGUGGUUAAUAACCGCAGCAAUUGACGUUACCCGCAGAAGAAGCACCGGCUAACUCCGUGCCAGCAGCCGCAGUAA
rnacentral:rRNA from 1 species